rnacentral:lncRNA from 1 species
CACUAAGACAUUUUACUUCCACCUGUAAUAAUAUUAAGGCUUUACUUCUUCAACAUUAAUUUGAUGCAUACCUUUCUUUUUUCCCCCACAUUAAAAAACGUCAAUAAGUGUGAGCCAAUGUUUCAGUAGAUUUCAUCACUCUUUCUCUUCAAACUUUGUCUUUCUAUCCAGGUCUGUCUUGUCUGCCUGAAUUGUAACUGUGAAUAUUUUCCCAUGUUCACCUAUUGGGCUUUCAUUCUUCUUGAUAUCUAAUUCCUCCUUCAGAUAACUCAUCCAUUUUCAUGGCUUCAGCUAUGCCUUUACUUGAAUGAUUUCCAAAAUUCUAUCGCCAAUCCUUUCCCCUCAUCUAAGCACCAGUCAUUUAUUUUCAACUCUUCACUGGACAUUUCUACUUUGAUGAUUUGCCCCCUUUUCAAAAUAAACAAGCUGAAUUCUCCACCCCUCGAUCGCCUCCCACUCCUGAUUUCGUUUUUGUUUUCAAGAAUAGAAACCUGUUUCCGAAUAUUUAUUUGGAAAUAAAUAUUAUCCAUACUUGAAACUUUGGGCCAAGGCACAAGAAUGGCAAUGCAAAGACGUACAAAAAACUGGAGUUAACAUACAGAAGUGCAGUGAGCCAGGCUCAGCUGUAUGGACUUGGGGCCUUGGCCCUGUUUUACUCAGCGCCACCUAAUGGUCACCAUUUAGAAAGGCAGGCCUACUUUUGCCAGAUGCAAUUUUGCAAAGGAAAAUGUAAAUGUCAAUUUUAUAGUGAAAUUUAUCAAUAUGUUUAAACGUUGUCACUGUUAAACAAAAUGCAGCACUCUGGAAGCAAUAUGAAGUUUAUAUAUGAAAAAAUUGCCAUGGUUCUAAGAAGAAAAUAGAGAAAAAGAGAAUCUCAGUAACUAUACAGGAAUCAAAGGAUUUAGUAAAAUGGAAAUGCAUCGGCAGGAAAUCAUAAAUUUGUUAUUUUUUUAAAAUACAGUCAUGUGCCAAUAGGAUUACAUUCUAAGGAAUGCAUAAUUAGGCAAUUUCUUCAUUGUGUGAACAUCAUAGAGUGGAAUUACACAAACAUAGAUGGUAUAGUCUACCACAUACCUAGGUGAUAUGAUGGAACCUAUUGUUUCUAAACCACGAACUUAUACGGCAUGUUACGGCAUUGAUCUUAUGGGAUCACCCUUAGUAUAUGGACUGUUGUUGGCCAAAACAUUGUUAUGUGGCACAUGGCUAUAUAUAGCCAGCUUCACCUGAAGGGCAAAAUCCCUAAGAUCUUGACACACAUACUGAUAAAUACAUGGAAUUAUUAAAGGUGCCAUCUCAGCAGAAGAGGAUUGCUGCUGCCUUUGUUCUCGGGGGAAUACAUAUUUCACCCAGUAGCAAGACACCCAACUGCUGCUACAAUCAGAAAUCUCUGAAAUGCCUUUAAGCUAAUCAUCUUUGAACAUAAGCCUUUGUUGUUGAAUCAGGGACCUUCUAGAUGCAAGGCACAGAAACCUUUUUUUAUUAUUUUGUUUUUUCUCCACCUUGCACAAAACAGCAUCAAGCCUGUCACCACCGACAGUAAGGUUCAGUGAUCUGUCAACAUUCACCCCUGAUGAAGACAGUGAGAGAAAUCCAUAGCUCUGGAGAGUUCAGGAGAGAACCAAACAGUGUGUUUGCAAAAGAGCAUUUUUAUAUGUUUUCUUGUGACAGCACUAGUUUAACAGAAAAUAGUUGGAGUGUGCCAAAAAGGGGGAAAAAUGAAAGACAGUAGUAACACACUCAGGCACAUACAUUUGUGUGUGUUCUAAUGCUUGCUAAGUGUUAUGCCAUAAAAGCAAAGCAUAUAUGAUUGUUCAAAAUCAAAUGUUAUAGUUUUUUCUCUAAUUCUAAAGUACUUCAGUGUAUUACCAGGUGGGUUCUCUUCAGAGAACCCCAACAGCAGGCCAGGAGGCAGUGUGCUGGUAGAUGCCAGGCAAUCCAGACAGGAUCCCAUUAUCUUCCUCUCUUGCCACUUUUGUUAAAACCUGAGGAUAGAUUAAACUGACUUUGGUGUCUUAAACCACAUCAAUGUGUCAAAGAUGUCAGGCUUUGUUAAUGAUGCACAAUUUACUAAGCACCUGAUGAAAAGCAGAGACUAAAAGUUUCUUAGUUUGAAAGUUCUAUAGUUAAGGCAGAGACAACAGCAAAAUCAAGGAUAAAUAUUUGAAUUACUCUAAGUCCAUUUGACAAAAAUAAAGUUCUGGAAAUGUAACUCAAUGACUUGAAAGCCCCUGUUCUUUUCCCUAUGAUUACUUACCUUGUCCAAGUCAUGUGGGCUCAGAAGAGGGAAAAACUUAAAACAUGGUCUCUCAUCUCAAGGAAGUUAGAUUCUGUUGAGGAGAAGAGACCCUAAAAUGGUAGGAAAGAACAGUCAAGAUUAAAGGACAAAUAAAAGGCAGACAAUAGGAUUUCAGAAAAGGCUGUAAUCACCACACAUAAAUUACCAAGAAAGGUUUCAUCAAGGAUGUUCUUCUUUAGCUGGUCCUUAAUAAAUGGGUAGGAUUUCAUGAAUAGAGAGCAGCCCACAGUGCAAAUGUCAUCUUGAUAACUCUCUGCUGGGUGGCUCCUUAGACCCUGUCAUCCUGAUCUUUUGCCUGUUGUCUGGUCAUGGUUUCUUCCUUGUUCUCCUUUACCCCCUUUGUGUGGAAAAACAUUUUAGUCUUUAGCAGCAAAUCAAAGCCAUUUUCAGGUGACACUGGUGAUCUUCUCUCUUACAGGCUACUAGAAUCACUUUCUAAUCCCUGGCUUGUCCAUUUAACUUUUUAAAGCAGAUUGGGCUGAAAGUAUGAAUUAAAGACUUAAAUGGUCUCACGAAGUUGCUAUGAAGUCAAUAUUCAGCAGCAUCACUGGCUUCUGCCAACUAGAUGUUAGUGGAAUCUCAAGUUGUAACAACCAAAAAUAUCUCCAAACAUUUAGACCCCAUUUGAGAAACACAGACAUAUAUGAACUUGCUACAGACACCUGUUUGGGGUAAUAUUCCACAGCUAAUUAUUACAUGAGAAAUUCAGUUUCCAACAAAAGAGUUUCUGUGUGAAAUUGCCAUUGUAGUUAACAAAUUAAUAUCAACUAUAUACAAAUACAUUUCUGAUGUCUUAAUUUAAAUACAGCUAAUAUACUACUCAUCUAUAACUAAAGAAUGGUAUAUAAAAACUAAGACUGCCCUCUUAGUGUUUGAAUUCUGUCUGUCACACUUUACACCAUGGUUGCACUGAUCAAGUCAGAAUGUUCUUCCCAGUAGCAGUAAUUUACUGUAAUACUGUAUUUUAAAUGGCAGGAAAAGAGUAUAGAAUUUUCAAGUGGCUGGAAAAAUUCCUAACUGUAUGUUAAAAAUGACUCAGGAGAGUUAAAAAAGAAAAAUACUGACAAGAUGAGAGAGAAAAAAAGAAAAACUUAGCUUGGGUAGCAUAAUAUGGAAGACAGAACAAUAAAUAAACAGGAAGUCCACUGCACUACCGAGUUUUUGAAGUAUGACGGACUUACAUGAAGUCCCAUGAAGACUGUUGAUUUGUUUGCUAAGAGAAAAGCAAGUAAACGAUGCCAGAUAUUUUAUGGAUAGAAAAUUAAAUACCCG